rfam:Methanolobus sp. T82-4 scaffold_589, whole genome shotgun sequence.
GCCGCAAUAACUCAGUUGGUAGAGUGUCUGGCUGUUAACCAGAAUGUCACAGGUUCGAGCCCUGUUUGCGGCG